GUGGGCGUAGCUCAGUCGGCAGAGCUCUAGAUUGUGGUUCUAGCGGUCGCGGGUUCGAUCCCCGUCGCCCACC
rnacentral:tRNA from 1 species